rnacentral:rRNA from 1 species
CCUACGGGUGGCAGCAGUGGGGAAUAUUGCACAAUGGGGGGAACCCUGAUGCAGCAACGCCGCGUGGGUGAAGAAGUACUCCGGUAUGUAAAGCCCUGUCAGCAGGGAAGAAAAUGACGGUACCUGACCAAGAAGCCCCGGCUAACUACGUGCCAGCAGCCGCGGUCAUCCGUAGGGGGCACGCGGUAUCCGGCUUUAAUGGGUGUAAAGGGAGCGUAGAUGGCAAGGCAAGUCUGGUGUGAAAGCCCGUGGCCCAACCACGGGACUGCUUUGGAAACUGUGUGGCUGGAGUGCAGGAGGGGUAAGCGGAAUGCGUAGUGUAGCGGUGAAAUGCGUAGAUAUUAGGCGGAACCCCGGUGGCGAAGGCAGCUUACUGGACUGUAACUGACGUUGAGGCUCGAAGGCGUGGGGAGCAAACAGGAUUAGAUACCCGAGUAGUC